GUAAAUGGCAGUCUGCACACAUUCUGCAAAUAAGAAAACCAACCAAAAUUAUCACCAAUUUGACUGGCUGAAUCCGAUAACCACAGCUUAGUGAGAUGAAAGAUGGAGAGAUGCGUUCGUCAAAUAUCCAGGCAAACCACUUACAAUUUGUUUUAUUAUUGGCCUAAUAAUCCAGUACAAGACAGCACAAAAGCAACUUAGGUAAAGUAUCAUCAUAAAAUUACAACACACAAGGAGGUGAAAGAAAGCUGGCUAAAUUUAGGCAGAAGAAUUGGUUGC
rnacentral:misc_RNA from 1 species